GACGGAGGGUGCAAGCGUUGUUCGGAAUUACUGGGCGUAAAGCGCGUGUAGGCGGCUUGAUAAGUCGGAUGUGAAAGCCCUCGGCUCAACUGAGGAAGUGCAUCCGAAACUGCCAGGCUUGAGUGUCGGAGAGGUAAGGGGGAAUUCCCGGUGUAGAGGUGAAAUUCGUAGAUAUCGGGAGGAACACCGGCGGCGAAGGCGCCUUACUGGACGACAACUGACGCUGAGACGCGAAAGCGUGGGGAGCAAACAGG
rnacentral:rRNA from 1 species